AGUGAACUUCGUUUGAAGCGGUAUCCUUUUUUGAGAUGUCCCGAGGCUUCGGGAUCUUCACCGUAAAAAGAUAAAGCCGAAAGCGGAAACUAUG
rnacentral:sRNA from 4 species